rfam:Triticum urartu cultivar G1812 contig40639, whole genome shotgun sequence.
CACAUACUCCCUCCGUUCUGAAUUACUUGUCACAGGUAUGGAUGUAUGUAAAUGUACUUUAGUUCUAGAUACAUCCAUUUCUACGACGUGUAAUUUGGAACAGAGGGAGUACAUC